rnacentral:rRNA from 1 species
UACGUAGGGUGCAAGCGUUAAUCGGAAUUACUGGGCGUAAAGCGUGCGCAGGCGGUUCGGAAAGAGAGGUGUGAAAUCCCAGGGCUUAACCUUGGAACUGCACUUUUAACUACCGGGCUAGAGUACGUCAGAGGGGGGUAGAAUUCCACGUGUAGCAGUGAAAUGCGUAGAGAUGCGGAGGAACACCGAUGGCGAAGGCAGCCCCCUGGGCUAACACUGACGCUCAGGCACGAAAGCGUGGGGAGCAAACAGG